rnacentral:rRNA from 1 species
UGGGGAAUAUUGGACAAUGGGGGCAACCCUGAUCCAGCGAUGCCGCGUGGGUGAAGAAGGCCUUCGGGUUGUAAAGCCCUUUAGGCCGGGACGAAGGGUGUGUGGGGAUAAUCCAUGCAUUUUGACGGUACCGGCAGAAUAAGCACCGGCAAACUCUGUGCCAGCAGCCGCGGUAAUACAGAGGGUGCGAGCGUUAAUCGGAAUAACUGGGCGUAAAGGGCGCGUAGGCGGUUUAAAACGUGUGAUGUGAAAGCCCCGGGCUUAACCUGGGAAGGGCAUCGCAAACGGAUAAACUGGAGUAGAUGAGAGGGUGGCGGAAUUUCCGGUGUAGCGGUGAAAUGCGUAGAGAUCGGAAGGAACGUCGAUGGCGAAGGCAGCCACCUGGCAUCAUACUGACGCUGAAGCGCGAAAGCGUGGGUAGCGAACAGG